GGAAGAGACACGUUCCCCGGUGGGGCGACCGGUCUUCAAAACCGGGUGGGGCCGUCAGCCGGUCCCAGGUGGGUUCGACUCCCAUACUCUUCCGCCA
rnacentral:tRNA from 1 species